rnacentral:rRNA from 1 species
GUCUACGGCCAUACCACCCUGAACGCGCCCGAUCUCGUCUGAUCUUGGAAGCUAAGCAGGGUCGAGCCUGAUUAGUACUUGGAUGAGGGAGAUUAAUAAGCAGAUU